ACAUCUUUUGUUCUCUACAUCAGGAACCCCUAUGUAAGUUGAGCUCCUUUUAGAAAACAAUGAGAAGUUUUCAGUAAAAACAUCCUGCUAAUGAAUUCCUACCUAUUACAACAGAAUACCGAUGACUCAUUAGGUAAUCAACACUAACAUACUCCCAAAUUAGGAAUAAGUGUCUGCUUGAAGUGCAGAUACAUAUGCUCCCUCCUGGCCCGUAAAUUUGCUUACUUUUAUUCAAGAAUAACAGCAACAGCCAGAAUAUUAACAUCAAGUUUACACAGCUAUUCCCAGAAACCUCUCUGUGUGCUUUUGACUUCCAGUCCUUUAACUGCAUAUUUAAGAAGCAGGGAAAAGUGAAAUUAGUGAAGUCUCAUGAUAAACAUCCUUCCCCACUAGUGUUCACCAGGCCUGACUUUGUCAGGUAAUCUACAGAGUAGUAACUUGCUGAUUUCCACAACUUUUACUACUUUAAAGUUAUUUAUUUCAUGAUUUAUUACUUUAGGAUUAUUUAUUAAGCAUAAGCAGAAUAUCAUUAUGUAUGGUACACAUAUAAUAAAAUACAAUUGAAAAAUUACUGCUCGUUUCCAUCCCCGCUCUGCAGUACGCUGCCCUUUCAGUUGUUCUGGUACAAUCACAGACGAGCCACCCUCAAAAUGGAUCAUUGAAAUAGUGAAUUUUUUAGUUUCUUUUUUUAAAGAAGUUCCUUUUUUUUAAUGUAGUAUCUAAGGUAAACCUGCAAAGUGUUGGGUUUGCACUAACAUUGCUUUGAACAGCUCAGCUACCUCUCAAAAGGGUAAGAAACUACUCCUCUGAAUUAACACAUCUAAGAUUUCAGCAUCUUGAAAGUGUGACCUGACUUGAUUCACUCAUUCCUAUGUGCAAAACAGAAAUGACAUAAACAGGUGAUUAUCUUUGGUCACUUACUACACUAUAACUAUAUUACAUCUGGGAAUUUAAUAAAUAAGUAAAAAUUGAUCUCACAUUUAGUCCAAGCUAAAACAGAAAAGCCUUAUCUUGAUAACCACAUAAAAUUUCCUGUCUCAUUUCAGCUAGACCGGAUUUCCAAUUUCCCCUGGAUCAAACCUGGAUUCGUGCCACUGGAAGCCUAUUCUGAAAGACCCAUUUACACAGAUUUUUUGUUCAAUAAAAUUGAGAAAAUAAAGCAGCUCCAACAAAUUGGAUUUAAUGUACUGAUGCAGUUGAGGAAUCCAGUUUCUUAAGACAAAAAAGCCUUACAAGCACACUAUCUGAAAAAGAAGGUAAGAGUACUAAAAAAGCUAUCCAGAUUUCCUGUUUCUCUAGAUGAUUUUGGUUUUGAGUGAGGACUGCAAAGCUCAGCAACCCAGAUUGAAAGUUUUACUUCUCUGGAAGGCAGGAUACAUUAGCCUGAGCUCAGUGCAGUGCUAACACAGGGGAAAACAGGCUUCAGGACAGUUUACUCCAACAGUCAAUGCCUGAGAAAGAGUGAGGCGCUAGUGACAAGCUGCGUACAGCUCACGAGUGGAAACAUACACAGAACACUUGCUUUAAUUAAAGUGUCACUGAAGCAAACCGUCUCACAGGGUUGCAACUAAAUUGUCAUUUCCUGUGAUUACAAAGACAUCUGUAUUAUCCAGAUAGGAACUGCAGUAUUGCUGGAUCUGACAGCUAUAUUAAAAUAUGAAGAAUGGACUACAAGCACUGUUCGGGGCUUGAAAAGACUGACCAAUUCUGAAGUAACAGCCAGGCAAAUUAAAUAAAUCUAGCUUUAAGAUUUGCUAAACCACACAAAAAAUUCUUAAUUACACAGACAAGCUUAAUACCAUGUAAGACCAUGAGUGUCCCUGCAAUUUAAUUUGAGUCUUAUUUAUGCCAUAACCAAAGACAGAAUUCCGAACACGGAAGAGUUCUUGACUUUUCUUUCCUCCACAGAACACCAGGACAAGACAGGGAUAUAGGAAGGAACAAGAGAGAGAGAUAAAAACCAGCAGCAUAAAAUAUAGCAUAGCCGCUGAAUUUAAGGACUAAAUUUUUAAUACAUGUGAUAAAUAAAAAUAAAAAAUUAAACUAUUGCAC
rnacentral:lncRNA from 1 species